rnacentral:tRNA from 1 species
GGUAAGGUGGCUCAGUGGUAGAGUGCUUGCCCUGCAUGUAUGAGGCCCUGGGUUCGAUUCCUCAGCACCA